rnacentral:RNase_MRP_RNA from 2 species
CAAGCAAGCCAAGGACCAUAUGUUUUUUGUGUUACACUUUCAGCAUCUAAGCUUAUUAUAUUCAACACAAGGAGAAAGUCCCCGGAAAACAAAUAUCUUCUGUCCAAUGAUUAAAGAUUAGGGCAGUGGGGUAUUUAGUAAAGCAACUUUGUUUGUUGUUUUUUUCAUAAUAAAAGUAAUAUGGUCACCCUAUAAUAAUGGGGCAACUUAAUGGGGCUUACUCUGGCUUGUUU